GGCAGAUACAAGGUGACCAGCCUCUCAGAAGCUGCCCAAGCCCUAUAGAGCCUCCUUUGGGGACUUAUCAAGGUGUCCUCAGACUAGUGACCAUGACACCAACUAUGCUGUUCUUUCACCAAGGUCCAGAGCAGAAAUCUACAGGAGGUUGAAUAGCCCUGAAUCACUCUGAGUUUACAUAGUGGCAUUUUUUGCCCAGCCACAUUCUUCAAUGUCUUUUUGUGGCUAGAAGAAGCAGACUCCACGACCCAGAAGAACCUAAAGCCCCAAAUAGGGGUCUGAUUCCCUGAUUGACUGUGGUACAGAAGAUCCACCCCCAUCAAAGCCCACAUUGGACCAUAGUGUGAAGUGAGAAAUCACCCUUUACUGUCUUAACUCAUAGGUUUUCAGGUUCUUGAUUACAGCACUUUAUUCUAAUUAAUAUAAUGCAUUACAGCAAAUGCUUAACUCUUGAUAUUUAAAAAUUGUUCAUCUGUGAUUCCCUUAAAAUGACCAUUAUUUGGUAAACACUGUUAUCGGAGACACUGCCCCACACGGCUUGAUUAUUCUUUCCUUAAAAUGUGCUUCCAGAAGCUGACAAAAUUAAUCAAAGACUGCAUCAUACCAAGUCAUCUUCCAGCAAACUCUGCUCUGUAAUUUAAUGAGUUUUCUCUUUCUGCCAAUCCUUCACUAUAACUGGCACAUUGAAUAAGCAGGACUCAUGGGAUUUAAUCAUAAAACUUGUUUUUUUCCACUGUCUCUUUAAACCUGGUCAGGUCCUUCCCUUAACCUUGACUAUUAUGGUCAUGCUUAGGUAAAAGAACGAUCUACUGUCAUUUUAAAUCACUAUUGUAGUCUCAACUCAGUAUUGAAAUAUGUUUAGUUGGAUGCAGUAAUCACAAGAUCAAUCAUCAUUCAAGUUGAGACUUCUCCCUGUCACAUGCCCCUCCUCCAUCCUGAGCCAGCAGCCUGCUACUCCCCCAUCCUAGGGAAAGAGGCAUUGUUAACACCUGUACUAAAUUCUUGCUCCCCCCACUACUUACCAGCUGUUGUUUCUGACCUGUGUCCCACCCAGGGUUGAAGCCGUGAGGGUGAAGAAGUAAAAGGCCAAGAAAAUUC
rnacentral:lncRNA from 10 species